UGACCUAAGCAUCGAAGGAUCCCCUGCCGAAAAUAUUCUGGUAAGUAAACUUAUUUGCAGGUCUUGCAACAGAAUCUUCAGCAUCCUCUUGACCGAUUUGCCUUUUACCUCGGUUCUAACCGUGUCACGCCCCGAACCCAGCACCCGGGUCCGGUACGCGACCGGCCGCAUGAGCCCUAGAGCAGUGCUCUAAAGAUCAUGCAAGGCCUAUGAUUAACAAAAAUUCCAAUAAAUCCACAACUAAUUUAGAAAUUCAAAUAGACAAAUCCGACAUGUCCAAAUAAACAAAUUAGUUCAUUUACGAGCUCUUCAAAUGUUCAUCAACAUUAAAGAAGGAUAAACAACUAACUAACUNNN
rnacentral:lncRNA from 1 species